ensembl:snoRNA SNORD16 Small nucleolar RNA SNORD16
UGCCAUGAUGGUGUAAUUUGCGUCUGAUUCUGUGAGCAGUGACGGUUGCCUGCCGUCUUUAAGCUGUCACGGGGAAUUGAUGAAUGUUAAAUUCUGAGCA